CUUCCGCCCGUCCCUGCCUCCCCAUCGCGCUGCCCCCCGCCUCCCCAUCGCGCCUCCCUGCACCUCCUCCACCGGCCCCGCAUCCCCAUCGCGCCCCCUGCUCUCCCCCAUCCUGGAUCCCAUCCCCGAGCCGUCGACAGUCCCAUCGCCCCUCUCCUCCGCCGCCCCCGCCCCUGUUCUCCUCUGCCCUCGCGCCGCCCCCCGCCUCCCUGGAUCCGCCACCGACGACCCCCGCCUCGUCGGAUCCGCCACGGGCCGCAGCCAGCAAGAUAGGGGAGGCCGGAUCCGCCGCACCCAAGCCUGCGCGCCGCUGGAUCAGCCGCCGUCGACCUCCUCUCUGAUCUCUCUCUCACUCUCCUGCAAACUAAUUCUGUUAACAAAAGGAAUAGGUGAUGCAAAGAACUUUGUCUCCAACUGAAUCUCUGAGAGCAUAUAUGCUUAAUCUUCUGGUUACUUGUAGAGAACACUAGAGGAGACUAUUCCAGCACCAAAGAGAGCGCUUAGGUCUCAAUCUGCUGGACCCUCUCAAUUGCCUAGUUGUAUAAACAUGUAGGUUUAAUUUUCCUCUGCAGUUGUUACUUUUUUUGGUAGUUCAUGUACUAGCAGUUGCCAUUUUGGCAUCAGAUUUAGCUGUAGCACACUAGGACAAGUGACCUCUCUGGAAUUCUAUUGUUAUAACCAUUGGUGAUGUGUACAACUGGUACAAGGCGAAACACCUAGCUGCUGCACUUCUUUCUGAAAUUGUUAAUAAGUGCUCAUUUAUUCUCUAAAUAUCAACAUCUGGUGAAACUGAACCUGCUCAUACCUGUUACUAUUUCAUACAUUCUGGGUACUUAGCUGCUUAUUUUCGUCCUUUAACUGUCUGUUACUUUUAUUUGCUAGAGCGCCUGACACAGGUGUUGAUGCAGAAAGAGAGUCACUUAGAGAUUUUCAACCAUUACAAUUCCACUAUAUUGGAAUAUCUAAGCUUCUGUUUGAUCAUGCUUGUGAUGACAUCUCAGAUGCAUACUUGCUUUGACACAGGUGAGAUUUUUUUUAUUGAGGACAUCAGAGAUGUCAGGUUCCAUAAGGUUGAGACUUGAUUGGAGAAAAUCUCUGGCCGUAUAUCUAAGAAGAUCAAAGCCAACCAGACCUUACAAACAUGACUGACUCAUGCUGUGAAGAGGCUAAGACGCAGAUAACAAGCAAGACAUGCAUGUAUCAGUCACUUGUAUUUGCAGAUGAUUUACUACAUAUCCGUGGAUUGCAGUAAAUUGGAGGAGAUGCCUUGAUGAUGACUCCAUGUUGAAGGCCAAAGUACAUCUGAAGAUGGCCUUUCUCAAUUCAUGUAGAACUAUUGUGAACAACAUGUAUUGAGAUGCUUGAAUUGGUUGUUGGAAACUUGUUUGGAAUAUUGUGGAGAAUCUUAAUAUAUAUAAAUGUAUAAAUAUUAUAUAUGUACUGUAUAAAUGUAUAUGAAUUACCUGUAUUGCUGUAUA